rnacentral:lncRNA from 1 species
AUUCCUGCACUGGGGGGGUUCUCCGGCUUCCGCGCGCCAGUACCACGUUGUCUCCCCUCUCGUACCCCUCUUCCUGCCUCUCGCUCUUUCCCCUCGCUCGUGCAGCUGCGUUUCUGGAAGGGGCAGGUGUUUUCGCUUCUCAGUGAGAAUAGGUAAACAAAAAAGAGGAAAGAAAGUAUAGGGUGUUGAAGAAAAUUACCCAGGAUUUUCAAGAAGGAAAAAGAUUUUGAAAAAAUAAAAAAAAUAUUAUUGACGGUGCUACUUUACGUUUGCCUUUGCUCUCCUCCCUCCCUCCCCUCCCCCCUUCUCUCUUUCUUUCCUUCCCCCCUUUCCCCCCUCCUUCUUUCUCUCUUCUUUGGUUUUCCUUCUUCUUCCUCCUUCAGGCGUCAUUCUCACUCGUCGGAAUUAAGAGAGAAAAAAGAGAGAAAGAUAAAUAAUAGUAGAAGAGAAAAUAAAAUCAAGUAAUAAA